rnacentral:rRNA from 1 species
GACGAACGCUGGCGGCGUGCUUAACACAUGCAAGUCGAACGAAGUGGCGGACGGGUGAGUAACGCGUAAUCAACCUGCCCUUCAGAGGGGGACAACAGUUGGAAACGACUGCUACUACCGCAUACUGAAGAGGGGGAUUGCGUUGGAUUAGCUAGUUGUAGGGGUAACGGCCCACCAAGGCGAUGAUCAGGAGCCGGUCUGAGAGGAUGAUCAGCCACACUGGGACUGAGACACGGCCCAGACUCCUACGGGAGGCAGCAGUAGGGAAUCUUGGGCAAUGGACGAAAGCCUGACCGAGCAACGCCGCGUGAGUGAAGAAGGUUUUCGGAUUGUAAAGCUCUGUUGUUAGAGAAGCGGUAUCUACCCAGAAAGCCACGGCUAACUACGUGCCAGCAGCCGCGGUAAUAC